rnacentral:rRNA from 1 species
UUAAGUUAAUAAGGGCGCACGUGGAUGCCUUGGCACUAGGAGCCGACGAAGGACGUGACAAACGACGAUAUGCCUUGGGUAGCUGUAAGUAAAGCGAUGAUCCAGGGAUUUCCGAAUGGGGGAACCCAACAGGUAAUCACCUGUUUACCCACAUCUGUUAAGGAUGUGAGGAAGGAAGACGCAGUGAACUGGAAACAUCUAAGUAGCUGCAGGAAGAGAAAAGCAGAAAGCGAUUGCCUUAGUAAAAGCGGCGAGCGAAACGGCAGGAGGGCAAACCGAAGAGUUUACUCUUCGGGGUUGUAGGACUGCAAUGUGGACUCAAAGAUUAUAGAAGAAUGAUUUGGGAAGAUCAGCCAAAGAGAGUAAUAGCCUCGUAUUUAAAAUAGUCUUUGUACUUAGCAGUAUCCUGAGUACGGCGGGACACGUGAAAUCCCGUCGGAAUCUGGGGAGGACCAUCUCCCAAACCCUAAAUACUCCCUAGUGACCGAUAGUGAACCAGUACCGUGAGGGAAAGGUGAAAAGCACCCCGGAGGGGGAGUGAAAUAGAACCUGAAACCGUGUGCCUACAACAAGUUCGAGCCCGUUAAUGGGUGAGAGCGUGCCUUUUGUAGAAUGAACCGGCGAGUUACGUUAUGAUGCGAGGUUAAGUUGAAGAGACGGAGCCGUAGGGAAACCGAGUCUGAAUAGGGCGCCUUAGUAUCAUGACGUAGACCCGAAACCAUGUGACCUACCCAUGAGCAGGUUGAAGGUGCGGUAAGACGCACUGGAGGACCGAACCAGGGCACGUUGAAAAGUGCUUGGAUGACUUGUGGGUAGCGGAGAAAUUCCAAACGAACUUGGAGAUAGCUGGUUCUCUCCGAAAUAGCUUUAGGGCUAGCGUCGACAUUAGAGAUUCUUGGAGGUAGAGCACUGUUUGGGUGAGGGGUCCAUCCCGGAUUACCAAUCUCAGAUAAACUCCGAAUGCCAAUGAAUUAUGGUCGGCAGUCAGACUGCGAGUGCUAAGAUCCGUAGUCGAAAGGGAAACAGCCCAGACCACCAGCUAAGGUCCCAAAAUAAUUGUUAAGUGGAAAAGGAUGUGGGGUUGCACAGACAACUAGGAUGUUAGCUUAGAAGCAGCUAUUCAUUCAAAGAGUGCGUAAUAGCUCACUAGUCGAGUGACCCUGCGCCGAAAAUGUACCGGGGCUAAAACAAUUUACCGAAGCUGUGGAUACCUUUAUAGGUAUGGUAGGAGAGCGUUCUAUGUGUGAUGAAGGUGUACCGUGAGGAGUGCUGGAACGCAUAGAAGUGAGAAUGCCGGUAUGAGUAGCGAAAGACAGGUGAGAAUCCUGUCCACCGUAAGACUAAGGUUUCCAGGGGAAGGCUCGUCCGCCCUGGGUUAGUCGGGACCUAAGGAGAGACCGAAAGGUGUAUCCGAUGGACAACAGGUUGAUAUUCCUGUACUAGAGUAUGUAGUGAUGGAGGGAC